AUUAUUUGUUAUAGUAAGUUUGUACAUCAAAAAUUCAGAAUCUUUGCUUUGGGUAAGUCCGGUGACCCGUCUCGCUCUUGCGAGCCGAGAUAGGAAGGCCGACGCAGUCCCGCUACUGUGAUUUGUUGGAAACAAAUCAUCUCGCCCGCAGGGCGGAUAUUUUAACCAGCAAUAAGCCAGAAAACCAAGGCUUAGAUAAAAUCCUUC
rnacentral:ncRNA from 2 species